CCUACGGGUGGCUGCAGUCGAGAAUUUUUCGCAAUGGGGGCAACCCUGACGGAGCGACGCCGCGUGGAGGAUGAAGGUCUUCGGAUUGUAAACUCCUGUCAUUUGAGAACUAGUAUCAGAAGAGGAAGAGACGGCUAACUCUGUGCCAGCAGCCGCGGUAAUACAGAGGUCUCAAGCGUUGUUCGGAUUCAUUGGGCGUAAAGGGAGCGUAGGCCGUAGAGUAAGUCGGAUGUGAAAUCCUGGGGCUCAACCUCAGAACUGCAUUCGAUACUGCUUUGCUAGAGGUAUGGAGGGGAGAUUGGAAUUCACGGUGUAGCAGUGAAAUGCGUAGAUAUCGUGAGGAAGACCAGUGGCGAAGGCGGAUCUCUGGACUUCCUGACGCUGAUGCUCGAAGGCCAGGGGAGCAAACGGGAUUAGAUACCCUUGUAGUC
rnacentral:rRNA from 1 species